rnacentral:lncRNA from 1 species
UGUUGGCGGCUGCCCUAGGAUUGCUGAUGCCCAUUGCAGGGGCUGAAUUUCUCAUUGGCCUGGUUGGAAAUGGAGUCCCUGUGGUCUGCAGUUUUAGAGGAUGGGUCAAAAAAAUGUAAGGAGUCCCUAUAAAUUCUCAUGAUUCUGGUAAGUAGCCACUUUCUCCUACUCAGGCCGAUCAUGUUGGACAUAAGUCUGUUUCCACUUUCCCAGAGCAGUGGUUGGCUUUACUAUCUUAAUGUCUUCGAGUCCUGGUAAGCCAGGCCAACAUGUAGUUUGCCACUUUCUUCAGUGGCUUCUGCUGCAUGGAGAUCAUGACCUUUGUCCCGCUGACUUCUUGUAGCUGAAAAGACUGGGUUUUUGUUUUUUGCUAGUGUCUUUCAAGAUCACUUUUUAUUUCUCAGCUCUUGUUGGCUGGACCCUUUAAAAACCCUUAACAGGAAACAGCAACAUCCUGCAUCCCAUUUUAAAUCUGUUAUUUUUAUAGAUUGCUGUCCAGUGAAGGAGACUGAUUGCUAUUUGUGAUGUUUCUGUUCCACUUGUCUUUUUGUAAAGACAUCACAGGAAGAUGGAGGACCACACAGCUGUCAGGAGGAGGCUCAAACCAAGGUGCUCAUCGCUCUGAACUUCCCCCUUUACAUGGUUUCUGCCUUGGCCAGACACUUUUCCAUGACCUUCUAAUCUCCCUCUGAUCUCACCAUUCUUGCCAUCUCUGCAACACUCAUGGCUGUUUAUACUUCAUUUCCGUCUAUUGUAAUGGUUAUGAGGAAUCAGACUUGUCAGAGAAUUCUGUAGGAGAUGAUAUGUACAUGGAAAUCCUAGAGGC